rnacentral:rRNA from 1 species
AGCGUAUAUUAAAGUUGUUGCAGUUAAAAAGCUCGUAGUUGAAUUUCGGGAUUAGUACGUUGGUCGUGCCUUAGGUACGUACUGGUGUUACUGGUUCCUACCUUCUGACGAACCAUCAUGUCAUUAAUUUGGUGUGGCGGGGAAUCAGGACUGUUACUUUGAAAAAAUUAGAGUGUUUAAAGCAGGCUCGCGCUUGAAUACAUUAGCAUGGAAUAAUGAAAUAGGACGUUGACCCUAUUUUGUUGGUUUCUAGGAUUGACGUAAUGAUUAAUAGGGAUAGUUGGGGGCAUUAGUAUUCAAUUGUCAGAGGUGAAAUUCUUGGAUUUAUUGAAGACUAACUACUGCGAAAGCAUUUGCCAAGGAUGUUUUCAUUAAUCAAGAACGAAAGUUAGGGGAUCGAAGACGAUCAGAUACCGUCGUAGUCUUAACCAUAAACUAUGCCGACUAGGGAUCGGAUGAUGUUAAUUUUUUAAUGACUCAUUC